GCUGGGUGUGGUGGUAUGUGCCUGUAAUCCCAGCUACUUGGGAGGCUGAGAUGGGAGGAUGGCUUGAGCCUGGGAGGUCAAGGCUGCAGUGAGCCAUGAUGGUGCCACUGCACUCUAGCCUGGGCAACAGAGCAAGACCCUGUCUCAA
rnacentral:SRP_RNA from 1 species